rnacentral:rRNA from 1 species
UACGAAGGGGGCUAGCGUUGUUCGGAAUUACUGGGCGUAAAGGGCGCGCAGGCGGCCCUUGAAGUCAGGCGUGAAAGCCCCGGGCUCAACCUGGGAGGUGCGCUUGAUACUCGAGGGCUUGAGUGCGGGAGAGGAGAGUGGAAUUCCCAGUGUAGAGGUGAAAUUCGUAGAUAUUCGGAAGAACACCAGUGGCGAAGGCGGCUCACUGGCCCGUUACCGACGCUCAGGCGCGACAGCGUGGGGAGCAAACAGG